AACGAACGCUGGCGGCAGGCUUAACACAUGCAAGUCGAACGGUUGUAGCAAUACAGCAGUGGCAGACGGGUGAGUAGCACGUGGGAACCUUCCUAGGGGUACGGAACAACUCAGGGAAACUUGAGCUAAUACCGUAUACGUCCGUGAGGAGAAAGAUUUAUCGCCCUUAGACGGGCCCGCGUCGGAUUAGCUAGUUGGUGGGGUAACGGCCUACCAAGGCGACGAUCCGUAGCUGAUCUUAGAGGAUGAUCAGCCACACUGGGACUGAGACACGGCCCAGACUCUUACGGGAGGCAGCAGUGGGGAAUCUUGGACAAUGGGCGCAAGCCUGAUCCAGCCAUGCCGCGUGAGUGAAGAAGGUCUUCGGAUUGUAAAGCUCUUUUACCAGGGACGAUAAUGACGGUACCUGGAGAAUAAGCCCCGGCAAACUUCGUGCCAGCAGCCGCGGUAAAGUAUCG
rnacentral:rRNA from 1 species